UCUCCAAUUCACUCCAUAUUUUUCGUUUUCUCCUCAGCUGUUCUGCUUCUUCUCUCUUCCAAACAUCUUUCCAAACUCAGUAAGAACACAAGUUGGACCACGAGCUUCAUCGAGUGAAUUGAAGGUGGGGUUGAAGACGAAAACUGAAUUGGAGAUGGGUAGGAGCUUUCUCAAAGUGCUGGGAGAUGGUUCUGCGCCUUUGUUCAUGGCAAGAGAACAUGUCAUUGUUUGAACCUUGCAACUGACUUCACUAUGCGAAGCCGGAUGAGGAUUUUGAUUAUAUCUUCACUCCUUCGUUGGAUUUGUGAACAAAAGAAGUCAAAUUCUGGAAUUGUCUUGCUUGUCAGAAACUUUGGGAUUUCAAAAUUGCUUCAUGGCAUUGGAUUUUGGUUGAGGCAAAUCUGAACAAGGCAGAGUGCAGUUGCUGUUUUGGUUGCCGAUGAAUUGGGAGCCUGUUUCGAGUCGCUGUUCCUCAUUCUUUUGUAGCAACGUGAUGCCCGCCAACUGUUCGAUGAAAGGCCAAAGACAUUCUCUGCAGAAUUUGAUUGAGACUUUUGGCUUAUUUGCUGUGCUUUUGGAAGAACCCACUUCUUUUCUUAUUUGCUCAAUUACACAUCCGAAAGAAGGACAGGUGCCGCUUCGUCAGUACUUGUAGGAUAGGUGCAGAUGCAGACAAGAACUUUGACAACAAACACCAUCUUGCCGUAACAAGGCUUUGAACACAACCUUGAUGGAGGUGUACUGGAUAUACGCAGGACGCACCGCCAUAUAAGCAUCGAAAAACAAAGUGAGGCAAGAAUGGCGUUGUGGUUUUGAUUUGUUCCAGAGAGACUAUUGUGGGCAGUAGCUUGGCUUCUCCGUUAUUGCUGAUGUGGUAAUCGCCUUGGUCAUCAGCAGGAGAUUAUGAGGAUAAGAGCAACAACAGACGCUCCAGAGAGACUUUGGCCAUGCUCACCAUUUGUUGUAUUUGGGGUGACGUUAAAGAUGACACCUACUAACGUCUGCAUCAUGAAAGAGAAAGCUCAGUAAUUUCAGGUGAUAAUUAUAAUCAUAUGCCUGUGAUUUAUGAAGCUUUUUCUACUACAAAGUGGUUCUCCGUCAGGCUUCUCUUGAAAAGCUUUAAGGAUGGGAUGUUGUAGAGCUUCGACGUUGUGUGAACUCUCUCUUCUCUGUCUUGCCUCAAUGUUGCUGGCUUUUGCUCUUUGAUGUUGCAGUGCUUUCGCCUAUUUUUUUUUUGCUCUCCAGUGUUUCUGCUACCCUCCCUCUCUCUUUGUUUUUUGCUUCUCUUUUUGCUGCCCUUUUUGCUUUUGCUCGCCUCCCCUCUGUUGCCCUUUCUGCUUCUGCUCGCCUCCCCCUUUCCAUCAGUGUAGUAGCUCCUUUUAUAGGGGAGUAAUGGAUGAGGUAGAGCUGAGGAUGACUCCUAUUUGAAUUUGAAAUGAUUUGAUAUUCAAAUCGGUUUGACCAAGUUUGGUGAUGAGAUUUGAAUUGAUUACAGUUAGCUUGACUUUUAUCAUAAUUGAAGAUCCACCUUGGACGUUGAUUUGCAUGCCUGCUUGUUCUCCAACUAAUCAUCCACUUGUUUUGAUGGAGUCUGGUGGUUUUGAAUUUGAAUUGGGAUGCAAAUAUCCAAUAAACUAUAUUCACUCCAAUUUAAACGAUAAGGCUGUGCUACCCAUGAAACCAAGUAGUCAUCAUAUUGACUUGAACUGGUUCUGUAUUUUGACCUACAGUACUCCAUCUUUUGAACAAACAUGUGAGUUUGUUAUAUUAUUUCCACCCAACAAGCGACACAUUGUAUUUCUAAACGAAGGCCUUUAUUGAAUUGGGUUUGUAUUUUUUUUUUCUUCAUUUAAACAGCUGCGGUGCUGCUGGCGCAAGCUCAU